rnacentral:rRNA from 1 species
GGGAAUUUUGGGCAAUGGGGGAAACCCUGACCCAGCAACGCCGCGUGAAGGAUGAAGUAUUUCGGUAUGUAAACUUCGAAAGAAUAGGAAGAAUAAAUGACGGUACUAUUUAUAAGGUCCGGCUAACUACGUGCCAGCAGCCGCGGUAAUACGUAGGGACCAAGCGUUGUUCGGAUUUACUGGGCGUAAAGGGCGCGUAGGCGGCUUGUCAAGUCACUUGUGAAAUCUCCGGGCUUAACCCGGAACGGCCAAGUGAUACUGUCAAGCUAGAGUGCAGAAGGGGCAAUCGGAAUUCUUGGUGUAGCGGUGAAAUGCGUAGAUAUCAAGAGGAACACCUGAGGUGAAGACGGGUUGCUGGGCUGACACUGACGCUGAGGCGCGAAAGCCAGGGGAGCAAA